rnacentral:lncRNA from 1 species
GCUGGGCCGGGCCGCGCCUGGGGGCCCUGCUCGGCUGGGGCUGCUUACUGCAGGCUUUCAGCCCAGUGCUGACUGCACCUGGGCAUCUGCUUGCCUGCACGUGGCUCUUAGUGCUCUGGUUACCAGGCAAACCUGAAGCCCUAGGAAAAAAUUCGGAGCAAAGAUUCUGAGACAGACUAUGUAACAUUUAUGGAUGUUUGGCAAGAUUACCCGUUGGCCUAAAUCAGCCUGCCGUUAAAUCAAGUACUGGAAGUUAGUAGAAAUAUAUUAUUUCAUAUCAGAUUCUCCUUAAUACUGCCUUCAGGAUCACUGACACUUCUCCACGGCUUCUUCCUUUCCACCUUAUCCUUUGGUAAGUCUGUGCUCUCGGAUUUCUACUUUUACCUCCAACUGUUCUUUUCAGCACCUCCUUUGGUAAAUCCACCCACUCCCUCCCCACUAUCUGUUGGCACCCUUCAGAUUUUCACCCUGAUUCCUCCUCCUUUUAUCUUUAUAGUCUCUAUUUUGACUAACUCAUCCUCCCAAACAAUUUCUGUUACUUACAGUUUUUCCCCCUGUUGUGAAUCUUUGCUUCUGACAUGCUUUCUGUGAUGUCAUCCUGUCAUCUCAAACCCUCUCUCUCUUCAGAGGAGAAUUUCU